CCCAUGCAGAGCUUGUGCUCUCCCUGGACCUCUUUACAGAUUAGCACAUCCAUUAAAGACCCCACCACAGAGGACUUAAGGGCUCUUCCUCCCAUUCACCCAGCAGACAUAAAUGACACUUGCUGCGGGUGGCUGCUAACUGCAGCCCUGCUUGGGUUGGCGUCCAUGACUGGCAUGUUUGUAUUGCAAAUCUGGCACUAAUCCAUGAGUUUGUGUUUGCAAAAGUUAUAUCUGUUAUUUUCUGUAGGUCCCAAAAGGUAGAAACCUCCAACACUUCCCUAUGCAGAGGCCAUGAGGCUCUCCUGUCACCAUUUCUGCAUUACAGCCGGUUGUCCUCUCUGUGGUUUAAAACAUAGGCGCUUUUUUCCUUCCUGACUGCUUCCUGGAGUGGUCCCAAGCAGCCAUUACUUUGUUUCUGGGAAGAAAAUCAGCCCAGUGGGGCUGAGGAAGAGGCAGUUGAUACUCAGCUUCGCCAGCUCCCCGGUUAGAGGGUGAGAUGUAGAAGGGAAGAAGCUGGAGACCAUGGAAAACUGCAGUGAGAGGUGAAGGCGAGCUGUGGCAAGCGCAGCCUUGGUGGCUGGUGUUUCUGCAGAGGGUCCAUGCAGCAGCUGGAGAGCAGAAUCCGCCAGUGCACGGGCUCAAUGUGGAACAGCAGUUCUGCACCCAGGCUGUGCACUGGAGUCUUCAAUACCUGUUUGUGUUCCCUCCACCGCAAGGUCAAGGCUUGCGUGCUCUCACACCUGGGAGAGGUGCCAUCCACCUCCGCUGUGGAUUACAGUUAAGUAUGGUCAAUGAGGAUGUAGCUCUGAUGCUUAUUAUCUCCAGUCCAGCUCAUAAUGCUUAACAGAUGAAGAGAGCCAUCGCUUAAUCUGCAGUGUUGGUGGAUUGCUAAAAGAAAAUACAUCUUUUUGUUAUUUGUAUACACAGGAGAGGAAUGCUGCAUGGCUGAGGAAAGAGACCAGAACUGCCAUGGAGAAAGGAGGAAAGAAAAUGCCUAAGAGAAUCCAAAAUCACCCUAAAAGCUGAUUUGCACUCAUAUGGUUACAGCUUCAAAGAGAUUUCUUAUAAGCAGAGUGUAAAGAGCCCCAAUACACAACGUGGGGUUGUAAUUAUUUUCAAAGCAGUGAGUGACUCUGAGUGUGUUUGUGCAGUGAGCACUGAGGGCAGGGGCUGUAACUGCAGAGUACAGCCAGUCCCCGACGCCGGGAUCACAAAAUGUGAUCGCAAUUGCAAGUGAGGGCUGCAGUUUUCUCUCGCUUUACAAGUUUUAUGUUGGUAAUGUGAAGUAAUUAAUGAACCAGAACUGUGCUGCAGAGGGGGAAUAAUUUUAAUGCUCUUUUUAAAGACCCUACUAAAUCAAUGGGGCAGUUUAAAAAGGAAUGAUAGCCUGGAGAUUAGGAAGCUUAAUAUGAGAAAUUAGGCAGGGUUUUGAGUGAUUGAA